AGCCCGACGAGGCGUCGGACGACGAGGACGACGAGCAGGAGGACUGGCGCGAGCUCUACGGCUCCCACCUGCAGCUAGAGGUGGAGCCGGCGGUGCACGACUCGCGCGACGAGGGCACCGCGGACGCGUGGAUCGAGCGCAACCCGUCCCUCAUCCGGCUCACCGGCAAGCACCCGCUCAACUGCGAGCCGCCGCUGACGCGCCUGAUGCACCACGGCUUCAUCACCCCGGCGCCGCUCCACUACGUGCGCAACCACGGCGCCGUGCCGCGGGGCGACUGGGCGACGUGGACCGUCGAGGUGACGGGCCUCGUCAAGCGCCCC
rnacentral:lncRNA from 1 species